rnacentral:rRNA from 1 species
GAUUAAGUUAUUAAGGGCGCACGGUGGAUGCCUUGGCACUAGAAGCCGAUGAAGGACGUUACUAACGACGAUAUGCUUUGGGGAGCUGUAAGUAAGCUUUGAUCCAGAGAUUUCCGAAUGGGGAAACCCAGCAUGAGUUAUGUCAUGUUAUCGAUAUGUGAAUACAUAGCAUAUCAGAAGGCACACCCGGAGAACUGAAACAUCUUAGUACCCGGAGGAAGAGAAAGAAAAUUCGAUUCCCUUAGUAGCGGCGAGCGAAACGGGAAGAGCCCAAACCAACAAGCUUGCUUGUUGGGGUUGUAGGACACUCUAUACGGAGUUACAAAGGACGACAUUAGACGAAUCAUCUGGAAAGAUGAAUCAAAGAAGGUAAUAAUCCUGUAGUCGAAAAUGUUGUCUCUCUUGAGUGGAUCCUGAGUACGACGGAGCACGUGAAAUUCCGUCGGAAUCUGGGAGGACCAUCUCCUAAGGCUAAAUACUCUCUAGUGACCGAUAGUGAACCAGUACCGUGAGGGAAAGGUGAAAAGCACCCCGGAAGGGGAGUGAAAUAGAACCUGAAACCGUGUGCUUACAAGUAGUCAGAGCCCGUUAAUGGGUGAUGGCGUGCCUUUUGUAGAAUGAACCGGCGAGUUACGAUUUGAUGCAAGGUUAAGCAGUAAAUGUGGAGCCGUAGCGAAAGCGAGUCUGAAUAGGGCGUUUAGUAUUUGGUCGUAGACCCGAAACCAGGUGAUCUACCCUUGGUCAGGUUGAAGUUCAGGUAACACUGAAUGGAGGACCGAACCGACUUACGUUGAAAAGUGAGCGGAUGAACUGAGGGUAGCGGAGAAAUUCCAAUCGAACCUGGAGAUAGCUGGUUCUCUCCGAAAUAGCUUUAGGGCUAGCCUCAAGUGAUGAUUAUUGGAGGUAGAGCACUGUUUGGACGAGGGGCCCCUCUCGGGUUACCGAAUUCAGACAAACUCCGAAUGCCAAUUAAUUUAACUUGGGAGUCAGAACAUGGGUGAUAAGGUCCGUGUUCGAAAGGGAAACAGCCCAGACCACCAGCUAAGGUCCCAAAAUAUAUGUUAAGUGGAAAAGGAUGUGGCGUUGCCCAGACAACUAGGAUGUUGGCUUAGAAGCAGCCAUCAUUUAAAGAGUGCGUAAUAGCUCACUAGUCGAGUGACACUGCGCCGAAAAUGUACCGGGGCUAAACAUAUUACCGAAGCUGUGGAUUGUCCUUUGGACAAUGGUAGGAGAGCGUUAUAAGGGCGUUGAAGCAUGAUCGUAAGGACAUGUGGAGCGCUUAGAAGUGAGAAUGCCGGUGUGAGUAGCGAAAGACGGGUGAGAAUCCCGUCCACCGAUUGACUAAGGUUUCCAGAGGAAGGCUCGUCCGCUCUGGGUUAGUCGGGUCCUAAGCUGAGGCCGACAGGCGUAGGCGAUGGAUAACAGGUUGAUAUUCCUGUACCACCUAUAAUCGUUUUAAUCGAUGGGGGGACGCAGUAGGAUAGGCGAAGCGUGCGAUUGGAUUGCACGUCUAAGCAGUAAGGCUGAGUAUUAGGCAAAUCCGGUACUCGUUAAGGCUGAGCUGUGAUGGGGAGAAGACAUUGUGUCUUCGAGUCGUUGAUUUCACACUGCCGAGAAAAGCCUCUAGAUAGAAAAUAGGUGCCCGUACCGCAAACCGACACAGGUAGUCAAGAUGAGAAUUCUAAGGUGAGCGAGCGAACUCUCGUUAAGGAACUCGGCAAAAUGACCCCGUAACUUCGGGAGAAGGGGUGCUCUUUAGGGUUAACGCCCAGAAGAGCCGCAGUGAAUAGGCCCAAGCGACUGUUUAUCAAAAACACAGGUCUCUGCUAAACCGUAAGGUGAUGUAUAGGGGCUGACGCCUGCCCGGUGCUGGAAGGUUAAGAGGAGUGGUUAGCUUCUGCGAAGCUACGAAUCGAAGCCCCAGUAAACGGCGGCCGUAACUAUAACGGUCCUAAGGUAGCGAAAUUCCUUGUCGGGUAAGUUCCGACCCGCACGAAAGGCGUAACGAUUUGGGCACUGUCUCAACGAGAGACUCGGUGAAAUCAUAGUACCUGUGAAGAUGCAGGUUACCCGCGACAGGACGGAAAGACCCCGUGGAGCUUUACUGUAGCCUGAUAUUGAAAUUCGGCACAGCUUGUACAGGAUAGGUAGGAGCCUUUGAAACGUGAGCGCUAGCUUACGUGGAGGCGCUGGUGGGAUACUACCCUAGCUGUGUUGGCUUUCUAACCCGCACCACUUAUCGUGGUGGGAGACAGUGUCAGGCGGGCAGUUUGACUGGGGCGGUCGCCUCCUAAAAGGUAACGGAGGCGCUCAAAGGUUCCCUCAGAAUGGUUGGAAAUCAUUCAUAGAGUGUAAAGGCAUAAGGGAGCUUGACUGCGAGACCUACAAGUCGAGCAGGGUCGAAAGACGGACUUAGUGAUCCGGUGGUUCCGCAUGGAAGGGCCAUCGCUCAACGGAUAAAAGCUACCCCGGGGAUAACAGGCUUAUCUCCCCCAAGAGUUCACAUCGACGGGGAGGUUUGGCACCUCGAUGUCGGCUCAUCGCAUCCUGGGGCUGUAGUCGGUCCCAAGGGUUGGGCUGUUCGCCCAUUAAAGCGGUACGCGAGCUGGGUUCAGAACGUCGUGAGACAGUUCGGUCCCUAUCCGUCGUGGGCGUAGGAAAUUUGAGAGGAGCUGUCCUUAGUACGAGAGGACCGGGAUGGACAUACCUCUGGUGUACCAGUUGUCGUGCCAACGGCAUAGCUGGGUAGCUAUGUGUGGACGGGAUAAGUGCUGAAAGCAUCUAAGCAUGAAGCCCCCCUCAAGAUGAGAUUUCCCAACUUCGGUUAUAAGAUCCCUCAAAGAUGAUGAGGUUAAUAGGUUCGAGGUGGAAGCAUGGUGACAUGUGGAGCUGACGAAUACUAAUCGAUCGAAGACUUAAUCAA